CAGCCGCCGCGGGAAUACGGAGGGCGCGAGCGUUACCCGGAUUUACUGGGCGUAAAGGGCGUGUAGGCGGCCUGGGGCGUCCCAUGUGAAAGGCCACGGCUCAACCGUGGAGGAGCGUGGGAUACGCUCAGGCUAGAGGGUGGGAGAGGGUGGUGGAAUUCCCGGAGUAGCGGUGAAAUGCGCAGAUACCGGGAGGAACGCCGAUGGCGAAGGCAGCCACCUGGUCCACUUCUGACGCUGAGGCGCGAAAGCGUGGGGAGCAAACAGGAUUAGAUACCCGCGUAGUCCCUGUCUCUUAUAC
rnacentral:rRNA from 1 species